GCCAAUGUGGCUUAGUGGUUUGAGUGCUGGAUAUGAUUCUGGAGAUCUGGGUUCAGUUCCCCACUUGGCCA